CUAAUACCUCUGAUCUGGUUGCAGGUUCAGCUGCUGCCAAAAAGCAAGGAAAUUUUGGAAUUUUUACUGCUUGCAUCGCCAAGAAUAACACAAUCAGGUUGGAAUGCAGAUAUGCACCCUGCCAUGGCUCCCCUCCCUUUGACUGUGAAUUCUUCACAUCGGACGGCUACCGAAUUGAAUCGAAUCAGAAGUGCCAGCUCAUCAUUCCACAGAACCAGGAUACAAACUACAGCUGCAAACUUACACGAAAAGAAAGGCAAGAAAUUAAGACCAUUGACAUAAACUUGACACCGGCCAAAGGAAAGAAAAAAACAAUUUCCUGUCCCGCCACCACAGGCUUACAGGUGCAUAGAGCUCCAGCCUUACUGUUGCCUGUGGUCAGUCUGUCCCUGUGGAGGGUCCUUGUUACAGACAGCCAGACAAC